rnacentral:rRNA from 1 species
UGACUUUCGGAGGAGGUAAUGACCAGUUCCAUUGAUGCCUUUUGGUAUUGUGGAUAGGGGUACGGUUUUCCACCGUACCGAAACCUAGCAGAGGGCCAGUCUGGUGCCAGCAGCUGCGGUAAUUCCAGCUCUGCGAGUUUGCUCCCAUAUUGUUGCAGUUAAAACGCCCGUAGUCUGAAUUGGCCAGCAAUGGUCGUAUGUAUUUAUACGUUCACUGUGAACAAAUCAGGACGCUUAGAGUAUGGCUACAUGAAUGACUCAGCGCAGUAUGAAGUCUUUGUUUUCUUCCGAAAACAAGCUCAACGAGAGCCAUCGGGGGUAGAUCUAUCUCAUGACGAGUGGUGGAAUACUUUGACUCAUGAGAGAGAAUCUGAGGCGAAGGCGUCUACCUAGAGGGUUUCUGUCGAUCAAGGGCGAGAGUAGGAGUAUCCAACAGGAUUAGAGACCCUGGUAGUUCCUACCUUAAACGAUGCCGACAGGAGUUUGUCACUUAUUAGUGGCAGAAUCUUUGGAGAAAUCAUAGUUCUUGGGCUCUGGGGGAACUACGACCGCAAGGCUGAAACUUGAAGGAAUUGACGGAAGGGCACACCAGGGGUGGAGCCUGUGGCUUAAUUUGAAUCAACACGGGGAAACUUACCAGGACCAGAUGUUUUUUAUGACUGACAGGCUUUGGGUCUUUCAGGAUAUUGCUUUUGGUGGUGCAUGGCCGUUGGUGGUGCGUGGGUUGACCUGUCUAGCGUUGAUUCAGCUAACGAGCGAGAUUAUCGCCAAUUAUCUACUUCGUCUAAGUCUUUAGAUGGAAGUUCUAAUUGGGACUCCCUGCGAUUUUAGCAGGUGGAAGAGGGUAGCAAUAACAGGUCCGUGAUGCCCUUUAGAUGCUCUGGGCUGCACGCGUGCUACAAUGUUAGGAUCAAUAGGACUGCAAAGCCGAGAGGCCGCGCUACUCUUAUAAUCCCUAACGUAGUUGGGAUUGACGUUUGUAAUCAGCGUCAUGAACCAGGAAUCCCUUGUAAAUGUGUGUCAACAACGCACGUUGAAUACGUCCCUGCCCUUUGUACACACCGCCCGUCGCUCCUACCGAUUGGAUGACUCGGUGAAAUCACCGGAUGCUUACGAGCAGAAAGUGAU